CAGCGGCGCGGACGCGGCGUAAUGAUGGAGCUCAAAGCGCCGGGAAAACGCCGGGACGCACAAGACACAAAACAAAGUUUAUGAAGUGCAGUGAGAGAACAGCAGCUCUGGAGAAAACCAUCCUAAUGAGGGGUGUUAUUGACAUCAUGUCGUUGAGGUCCAUGGGGCUGUGUUUGUUUUGGCUCGAGCGGGCCAGCAUUGUGUCGAGGAGUACUCCGUCUAUUUCUUCCUUCUCUCCAUGACCCUACUCUUCCUGUCUGGCAGCAGCCCCAUUCUCACAGAUAUGGAAAGGCGCCCAAAUCAAACAUGCGUCUUCAAUUUGGCCUUAUGAGCAAAACAAUCACACGCUCCUUCCUCCAGAAUCCCUGCCGUGACAAGUUCCCCCCUGCCCUGACGGGAGAGCGCGGGACGUGGCCGUGCGGGGUGAAAUUCAGGAUUGACGGAAGUUUGGACUGAGGAUUUGGGAGGGAUCUGGAUGUAAAUUGGGCUUUAAUGGCAGAUGCUCGGCAAGGCAGGGAAGACUUGAUCUGAGAGGCUGGAGAAGCUUUGUAUAUUUUCUGAGUUUGGCGGCUAGUGGAAACAGCUUGGGCCAGAGUGAGGAGGACCACCCAUGUCCUUUCUCUCCAGGAGAGAGCUCCAGAGCUCCACUGCCAUUCAUUAGAGCCCUUCUCUGAGGUGGGUUCUGCGGCCAGGACACCUGUGAACUCAGAAGUGGGCCAUCACCGAAA